rnacentral:rRNA from 1 species
CCUACGGGGAGCAGCAGUGGGGAAUAUUGGGCAAUGGAGGCAACUCUGACCCAGCCAUGCCGCGUGAGUGAUGAAGGUAAUUUUAUUGUAAAGCUCUUUUCUUUGGAACGAAUAAAUGACUGUGCCAAAUGAAUAAGCCCCGGCUAACUACGUGCCAGCAGCCGCGGUAAUACGUAGGGUGCCAGCGUUGUUCGGAAUGCCUGGGGGGAAAGGGUGUGUAGGGGGUUUGAUAAGUUAGAUGUGUAAUACCCAGGGCUUAACUCGGGUGCUGGAUCUAAAACUGUUGGACUUGAGUACUGGAGAGGAUAGUGGAAUUCUUAGUGUAGCGGUGGAAUGCGUAGAUAUUAGGAGGAACAUCAGUGGCGAAGGCGACUAUCUGGACAGCAACUGACACUGAGGCACGAAAGCGUGGGGAGCAAACAGGAUUAGAUACCCGAGUAGUC